rnacentral:rRNA from 1 species
CCUACGGGCGGCAGCAGUGAGGAAUAUUGGUCAAUGGGCGGAAGCCUGAACCAGCCAAGUCGCGUGAGGGAUUAAGGCCCUGCGGGUCGUAAACCUCUUUUGCCGGGGAGCAGAGGUCCGGACGUGUCCGGGCCGGGAUAGUACCCGGAGACAAAGCAUCGGCUAACUCCGUGCCAGCAGCCGCGGUAAUACGGAGGAUGCGAGCGUUCUCCGGAUUUAUUGGGUGUAAAGGGUGCGUAGGCGGGCAUUUAAGCCGGCGGUCAAAUGUCGGGGCUCAACCCCGGCCUGCCGUCGGAACUGGGUGCCUUGAGUGGGCGAGAAGUAUGCGGAAUGCGUGGUGUAGCGGUGAAAUGCAUAGAUAUCACGCAGAACCCCGAUUGCGAAGGCAGCAUACCGGCGCCCGACUGACGCUGAGGCACGAAAGUGCGGGUAUCGAACAGGAUUAGAUACCCGAGUAGUC